GGUCAGAGGCAAUUUUACAAUAAUCUACCUAUGCCACCAUGACUUGAUUCCUCUGUACUGAAGUUGGGUUUCAUCUAAUCUCAUAUUGGUUUUUAGAAGAACUUUUUAUAUAGAGUUUAUUAAUUAAUGUAUUUGAUUUAAUAGGUUUGAAGUGCGAAUGAUUGGAAGUUGAAGUGCUAGAACUCGAAUUAAGGAGAUUGUGAAAUGAAAACAUUUGAAUGACGGUAACCAAGACAAGUAUCACAACUUAAAAGCAACCAAUCAAACCAUUGCUGAUCCAUCAUAUUAUUCAUGGCCUACUCUUUAUGUGCAGAGAAAUACUCAAAUCAAUGGGAACCCAAAAAGGAAUCAGAGGAAAUGUAAAGCGAAUUACAUUGAAAUGAAAAGUCUCGCCUAUCAACCAUUGUCUGUUUUAACAAGGGCCCUCUCUCACUAUUCUUGCCCAUCAAAGAUUAACAAGAAUAGCCUAAAUCAAAAUUCCCUGUUUCUUUAUUAUUAUUAUUAUUAUUAUUAUUAUUAUUAUUAUUAUUAUUAUAUCUUAAUUUUAAAACCAAAACAAAAAAAUAAAAAUAAAAAUUGAUGGUGCAAAGAAUUUGAACCCAUAUCAAAUUUUCUUCACGCUUCUUUACCUUUUACCUGCAGAGAAGAAUCAAUCGACAUGCCUGGUUUUGUUGGCACAGCGAGUGAGGUAGAGGAAGCCUGAAACAAGACUCAGACAAAAGUAGCGCAAUCAUCGAAUUUGAUUGCGAAUUUGUGAAGGAGAACAGAGCAGUCCUGAUGCAUCUGCCCCGAC
rnacentral:lncRNA from 1 species